UUAAGCGACUAAGCGUACACGGUGGAUGCCCUGGCAGUCAGAGGCGAUGAAGGACGUGCUAAUCUGCGAUAAGCGUCGGUAAGGUGAUAUGAACCGUUAUAACCGGCGAUUUCCGAAUGGGGAAACCCAGUGUGUUUCGACACACUAUCAUUAACUGAAUCCAUAGGUUAAUGAGGCGAACCGGGGGAACUGAAACAUCUAAGUACCCCGAGGAAAAGAAAUCAACCGAGAUUCCCCCAGUAGCGGCGAGCGAACGGGGAGCAGCCCAGAGCCUGAAUCAGUGUGUGUGUUAGUGGAAGCGUCUGGAAAGGCGCGCGAUACAGGGUGACAGCCCCGUACACAAAAAUGCACAUGCUGUGAGCUCGAUGAGUAGGGCGGGACACGUGGUAUCCUGUCUGAAUAUGGGGGGACCAUCCUCCAAGGCUAAAUACUCCUGACUGACCGAUAGUGAACCAGUACCGUGAGGGAAAGGCGAAAAGAACCCCGGCGAGGGGAGUGAAAAAGAACCUGAAACCGUGUACGUACAAGCAGUGGGAGCACGCUUAGGCGUGUGACUGCGUACCUUUUGUAUAAUGGGUCAGCGACUUAUAUUCUGUAGCAAGGUUAACCGAAUAGGGGAGCCGAAGGGAAACCGAGUCUUAACUGGGCGUUAAGUUGCAGGGUAUAGACCCGAAACCCGGUGAUCUAGCCAUGGGCAGGUUGAAGGUUGGGUAACACUAACUGGAGGACCGAACCGACUAAUGUUGAAAAAUUAGCGGAUGACUUGUGGCUGGGGGUGAAAGGCCAAUCAAACCGGGAGAUAGCUGGUUCUCCCCGAAAGCUAUUUAGGUAGCGCCUCGUGAAUUCAUCUCCGGGGGUAGAGCACUGUUUCGGCAAGGGGGUCAUCCCGACUUACCAACCCGAUGCAAACUGCGAAUACCGGAGAAUGUUAUCACGGGAGACACACGGCGGGUGCUAACGUCCGUCGUGAAGAGGGAAACAACCCAGACCGCCAGCUAAGGUCCCAAAGUCAUGGUUAAGUGGGAAACGAUGUGGGAAGGCCCAGACAGCCAGGAUGUUGGCUUAGAAGCAGCCAUCAUUUAAAGAAAGCGUAAUAGCUCACUGGUCGAGUCGGCCUGCGCGGAAGAUGUAACGGGGCUAAACCAUGCACCGAAGCUGCGGCAGCGACNGAAGGUGUGCUGUGAGGCAUGCUGGAGGUAUCAGAAGUGCGAAUGCUGACAUAAGUAACGAUAAAGCGGGUGAAAAGCCCGCUCGCCGGAAGACCAAGGGUUCCUGUCCAACGUUAAUCGGGGCAGGGUGAGUCGACCCCUAAGGCGAGGCCGAAAGGCGUAGUCGAUGGGAAACAGGUUAAUAUUCCUGUACUUGGUGUUACUGCGAAGGGGGGACGGAGAAGGCUAUGUUGGCCGGGCGACGGUUGUCCCGGUUUAAGCGUGUAGGCUGGUUUUCCAGGCAAAUCCGGAAAAUCAAGGCUGAGGCGUGAUGACGAGGCACUACGGUGCUGAAGCAACAAAUGCCCUGCUUCCAGGAAAAGCCUCUAAGCAUCAGGUAACAUCAAAUCGUACCCCAAACCGACACAGGUGGUCAGGUAGAGAAUACCAAGGCGCUUGAGAGAACUCGGGUGAAGGAACUAGGCAAAAUGGUGCCGUAACUUCGGGAGAAGGCACGCUGAUAUGUAGGUGAGGUCCCUCGCGGAUGGAGCUGAAAUCAGUCGAAGAUACCAGCUGGCUGCAACUGUUUAUUAAAAACACAGCACUGUGCAAACACGAAAGUGGACGUAUACGGUGUGACGCCUGCCCGGUGCCGGAAGGUUAAUUGAUGGGGUCAGCGCAAGCGAAGCUCUUGAUCGAAGCCCCGGUAAACGGCGGCCGUAACUAUAACGGUCCUAAGGUAGCGAAAUUCCUUGUCGGGUAAGUUCCGACCUGCACGAAUGGCGUAAUGAUGGCCAGGCUGUCUCC
rnacentral:rRNA from 1 species